GAUAUUAUAUCUGUUUCAGAUCCUCCUGUCAAAUGUUUUGAUGCAAAAGUCUCAUUGGAGAAAACUAUUUCUUCUUUUGAGGAAAGUACAAAAUCUAACUUUAUUAUUCUUCAAAAGUCAAAAAACUUUGGCAAUGAAGACUUCAAGGCUUCUGGCAGUGAAAGAAUCUUGUGGAAGAGUCCGAAUGUGAAUGGAAGCAUACUCAUUUCCUUUACCGGUGUUCCGUAUCUUAUUGUUGGCAGAAAAAGUCUUCAAUGUCAUUUAGGGAGAGAUUUAAAUAGGCAUAAGAGUAAGAAAAAUUCAGGAGAAAUAAAAAAUCAGACUGAAGAUCAUUGCUUUAGAAGAAAACGGAGAAUUAUUCAGAACACAAAGAAAAUGGGAUGCACAGCUGAAAUCCACAUUAUACAUAUUCUUAGAUUUCCAGACUUUAAGGUUACUUAGUUAUUUUUUUUAGAUUACUAUUAUUAUAGAUUAAAGAGAACCAAUUACCAGAAUAUGGCCAACAGAAACUAACGGCAUGUGAUUUCGCUGCUGGAGUUUAGGGCACAAAACAUGGCAAUUUUGGGUCCUCUUUUAAGAAGUUCAAUACUAUCAAAGUUAUUGUACAUAAACCCAAAAUACCUUUUUGGCAGUGCAGGGCGUGCCCUGGCAUGCCAAAAUCAGUAACCAGUAUUUCUCUAGUGGCUUAAAGGGGUUGUCCUAAAAAAAAAAUGAUUGUUUGCAAACCAGCACCUGGAUCUGAACACUUCUCGAAUUGCAUAUAAUAUUAAAUUUAGUAUCCCCAAUGAGUUAUUCAAUUAAAUUUAUCUGUAUAGCUAUAGCACCACCUGCUAACUGAGAUGGCCGCAAACGCUCAGUUUCAUCUUUCAACCGC